AGCAUGUCGCGCUGAAACACUGGUUCUCAUAUGAUCACUAAUGUUAAGCAACGUCGAGCCUGGUCAGUAACUAGAUGGGUGAACGCUUGAGAAUACCAAGUGCUGUAA